GAAUAUCUGUGCUUUACCGGAUGGUGAAUUUCCCACUGCAUACAUUAUCAUCCUGACCACUAACCACAGUCGGUGGUUUACCAUUAUUUUACCUUAAGCUGCAUUUAAAAAACAAAACAAAACACAAAAACAAACCUCUUACUAGGCAGAAGGCGUGAGCUGCAGCUCAUAAAAAUCCUCUCAUACAGUGGCAAAUGCAGAGCAAAGCCUAACUGCUGUUGAGAACUGUAUCAAACUCUAUUGAACUGUUUUGCAGUUUUCUCCUCCUUGAUUCAAGGAAAAGAAUGUUCCUUCUUUGGCCUUUUGUGGUGUUCAUCAUCUCCCUCUUAAGUUCGCUGGGCAAAGCUCAGACGAUUGAACAGCCUGGAUCAGCUACAGCAUUUGAUGGAACAAGAUACAUGCUUACCUGCACCCUUACUUCCAUUUCAUCAGAAAGGAUCCAGUGGUACAGGCAAUUCCCUGGCAGAGGGCCUCAGUAUAUUGCUGGAGCAUAUGCAGGAUUAAACGGCCAUAGUACCAAUCCAAAGAGCACCGUGCGUGUUGCAGAGAACAAGGGCUCCACUACACUUGAGCUUGAUCAUGUCACUCUGGGAGAUGCUGCAGUGUACUUCUGUGCUUUGAGUGAUACACAGUGUGUCAGGAAAGGACUGUGGCCACAUGUUAACCUCUCUCAAAGGCUGAGAGGAAGAGAAGCUACAGGAGACUGA